ACGUCUCUCCCUCUCCUUUUCUUCCUCUGGUUAGAGAGAGAGAGAGAGGAAUUUUUGGGGCGAGCCGCACUGCCCUCGUUUGGUACUCCUCCCAUUUGGGCGUUUCCUCAGCUCUGAGAAGUUCAACUUCUGGGACCUUCGUCAUUUCAUCUACCCCCUGUUUUUCUGUUUCGGCUGCUUCUGUUCCUCUGUGUUUGUGCUUCCCGUCGAGUAGUAAUUGCUCCUCUGCGUUUGCUCAGUGCUGUCUCUUUUGUGCGGUGGAUCUGUGUGAAACGUCGAGGCCAUUUGGCCCCGAAUGUAGUUUUUUACCGAGUCGAAACCGCUAGUGGAUCGACAACUGUUGCUGCUUGUGUCAACUCAUAGAGCCACUGGACACCUCUUCUACAAACCAUUUAGCAACUUUGUGGCUGGACUCAGUUGUCUAUCACUCAUUUGUUCGUUAUAUUAUUGAAGGUUUAAGAUUUCGGCAAUUGCAAGAAUGUUGGAUCUCAAGCCUCUCUCUCCACCUCAAUAACUCUACGCAGCUCUUGGUUAUGCCAUCCAGUUGGUAUUUCUUCAUCUGUUCUCACUAAAAAUUGAUUACUAGAUACAAAUUUUUCCUUGUGAGAUUUGUGAGGAAGGUAAUGAGCAUCUGGAAAUUGUCCCUAAGGAGAACUAUGAUGAGGUUUAUGGUUAUUGCUGGUUAAGCAUGGAAAGUUUUUUUGUUUUUUUUAUCAAUAGCUCAUUUAUGAGUGAUAACUACUUCGGGCAAUGUCUUAUACACUUUCUCAAGUAUUAAUAUUAGUUUCUCAAGUUGUUUCUUCUGUCAAA